rnacentral:lncRNA from 1 species
GUUGCUGUGCUAACGACCGUUGGAACCCUCUUUCUGGCUCUUGGAACGCUCGGCUCUGAGAGGCUCCAGGUUUCUCCGCCAGAGCUCCUGUCGCUCUGUCAGUUGCGCUGUGUUCCUCUCUAGUCACAAGAGCCUUGGGGAAGACAGUUGGAAGCUCAGACAUGGAUUUCGCUCUUGUUGCCCAGGCUGGAGUACAGUGGCUCGAUCUCGGCCCACAGCUGCCUCUGCUUCCUGGGUUCAAGCAAUUCUUCUGCCUCAGCCUCCUGAGUAGCUGUGGUUACAGUUGGAGUCUUGCUCUGUCACCCAGGCUGGAGUGCAGUGGCGCAAUCUCAGCUUACGGCAAGCUCCGCCUCCCGGGUUCAUGCCAUUCUCCUGCCUCAGCCUCCCGAGUAGCUAGGACUACAGGCGCCCGCCACCACACCCGGCUAAUUUUUGUAUUUUUAGUAGAGACAAGGUUUCACCGUGUUAGCCAGGAUGGUCUCGAUCUCUUGACCUCGUGAUCUGCCCACCUCGGUCUCCCAAAGUGCUGGGAUGACAGGCGUGAGCCACCAUGUCCAGCUGUAACUUA